rnacentral:pre_miRNA from 1 species
UCUAGAGGGUGGUGCAACAUCUCUGGAUGUAAAUGGUACUCUUACAAAUGGUGAUGGUGAAAAGAAAAGGAGCAGCUUGUUAGUCUGAACUCGGUCUAGUUCAAACCAAAACAUCUUUUCAUCCUUGAAAUUCUCUGCAAUUACAAGGUUGAACUUUUUUUCAACCAAGGGCUCACACCGCACUAGGACUCAUACUAUUACCUUACUCUUGUGACAAAAAUUGCAUUAAAGAGAUACGUUUCGGGUUGGAGGAAGUUUGGGGUACGGGUCCUAAUGUCAUGUGAAGAAAAGUUCAGCCCAAUAAUUGCAGAGAAACAUAUGUUUGGUUUGAACUAGACCGAUGUCAACAAACAAGCUGCUUCGUUUCUAUUCACCAUCAACAUCUUUAAUUGCACCAUCGACGUCCAGAAAUGCUGCACCACCCCUCUAGA